rnacentral:rRNA from 1 species
GACGAACGCUGGCGGCGUGCUUAACACAUGCAAGUCGAACGGAAAGGCCCUGCUUUUGUGGGGUGCUCGAGUGGCGAACGGGUGAGUAACACGUGAGUAACCUGCCCUUGACUUUGGGAUAACUUCAGGAAACUGGGGCUAAUACCGGAUAGGAGCUCCUGCUGCAUGGUGGGGGUUGGAAAGUUUCGGCGGUUGGGGAUGGACUCGCGGCUUAUCAGCUUGUUGGUGGGUAGUGGCUUACCAAGGCUUUGACGGGUAGCCGGCCUGAGAGGGUGACCGGCCACAUUGGGAUUGAGAUACGGCCCAGACUCCUACGGGAGGCAGCAGUGGGGAAUAUUGCACAAUGGGCGGAAGCCUGAUGCAGCAACGCCGCGUGCGGGAUGACGGCCUUCGGGUUGUAAACCGCUUUCGCCUGUGACGAAGCGUGAGUGACGGUAAUGGGUAAAGAAGCACCGGCUAACUACGUG